UAAAUAGCUGGAAUAGAACUUGGGAUCAAAAUCGAAAUAAGUUUUUAGAACUCAUUUUUCUUCAACCAAACAUGCUGAUAAAUAUCUUCAUCUUAUCUAUGCGCCUAAAUUUGAUAGGAAGUGAGGUAGGCAGCCUAAUUUGAUGGGGAGUGAGGUAAGUAGGGGCACUUUCACGUCUAAUGCAUAAUUACGUCUUUUGGAUGCAUUGCCCAAAAGGUUUUCUUCUGCGCCACCAAAAUCUGAUGCCAGCACUAACUUCUAAGUUCAUGCUACCAUUCUACCAACAUCCCACCUACCCACGUCUAUUCUGCAGUGUAACCCAAACUUUGGACAUUCAUGGGGCGUGACAUAAUCUAGUGACAUUAAAAAUAUAUGAAUUAUUUUUCCUUCAGAAAAAACAUCUUACGGCAUUCGUGGACAAGCUGAUUUGAAAAGUUUAGUACCAAUAACAAGUCUGAAUCGCAGAGAAAUCUUUCUAUAUACCUAAGUUAACCUUCUUGCUGUCACCCUUUAAUCAAACUGGCACCAUUUUAAGCUGAAAGCAGUACAUUUAUUUCUCCGAUCUGUUGCACAUUUAACAAUGUCGACCAGCAUUCUCAAAACUGGCACCAUUUGAUGGCAUGCAUGUCUCUUUUAAGACCAGAGGAGCGGGAUAUAAAAAAAGAAGAAUUCUUUUGGAUUUUGAGAGCAUGGAUCCCAAAACUUAAACUAUUUUUAGAGUCCAGUUGUACAUGCCGGGCUCCAAUGAGUUUUUUUUAUAUAUAUAGUAGAUUUUCACAAAGCAAUCCUGACGCCUUCAAAUAAAAAAUAUUGCUACACCUAAUUGUUGUUAGAAUAUCAUGUUUCCAAAACUUAUACAGAACUAGCUAUAAUUAAAAUUAAUAUUUGAUUAGCCAGUAGUUAGGCAUCACUCUCCAUCUGAGAGGUCCAAAAUUCGAUU
rnacentral:lncRNA from 1 species